rnacentral:rRNA from 1 species
CCUACGGGAGACAGCAGUGAGGAAUAUUGGUCAAUGGACGCAAGUCUGAACCAGCCAUGCCGCGUGCAGGAUGACGGCUCUAUGAGUUGUAAACUGCUUUUGUACGAGGGUAAACCCCGAUACGUGUAUCGGGUUGAAAGUAUCGUACGAAUAAGGAUCGGCUAACUCCGUGCCAGCAGCCGCGGUAAUACGGAGGAUCCGAGCGUUAUCCGGAUUUAUUGGGUUUAAAGGGUGCGUAGGCGGGUUGAUAAGUUAGCGGUGAAAUGUCGGGGCUCAACCCCGGAACUGCCUCUAAUACUGUUGGGCUAGAGAAUAGGAGCGGUAGGCGGAAUGUAUGGUGUAGCGGUGAAAUGCUUAGAGAUCAUACAGAACACCGAUUGCGAAGGCAGCUUACCAACCUAUAACUGACGUUGAGGCACGAAAGCGUGGGUAGCGAACAGGAUUAGAUACCCUAGUAGUC